rnacentral:rRNA from 1 species
GAUGAACGCUGGCGGCGUGCCUAAUACAUGCAAGUCGAGCGAACAGACGAGGAGCUUGCUCCUCUGACGUUAGCGGCGGACGGGUGAGUAACACGUGGAUACCCUACCUAUAAGACUGGGAUAACUUCGGGAAACCGGAGAUAAUACCGUAUAAUAUAUUGAACCGCAUGGUUCAUUAGUGAAAGACGGUUUUGCUGUCACUUAUAGAUGGAUCCUCGCCUCAUUAGCUAGUUGGUAAGGUAACGGCUUACCAAGGCGACGAUGCGUAGCCGAACUGAGAGGGUGAUCGGCCACCCGGGAACUGAGACACGGUCCAGACUCCUACGGGAGGCAGCAGUAGGGAAUCUUCCGCAAUGGGCGAAAGCCUGACGGAGCAACGCCGCGUGAGUGAUGAAGGUCUUCGGAUCGUAAAACUCUGUUAUUAGGGAAGAACAAAUGUGUAAGUAACUAUGCACGUCUUGACGGUACCUAAUCAGAAAGCCACGGCUAACUACGUG